UAUCACAGCCUGGGCUCUGAAAUCAGACCGCCUGGUUUAUACACUGGCUCGGCCCAAUUGAGUGGCCUCAGGCAAAUUGUUUAACUUCUCUGUUAAUUCAGCCUCAGUUUCUUUACCGGUAAAGUGAGAUAACACUAGCACCUACCCCUAGCCUUGUUCUGAGGAUUAAAUGCAGUUAAAAAGUAAAGCGCUUAAUUUUCUGUCCCACGGUAAAUUCUCAAUAAGCGUUAGCUGUUACAACUAUGAUUUCCUCUGAAGUCACACGCAGAGACCCAGAGACAAGGUCUUCGAUGCUAAUUAAACCUUGCAUUCUUAUUGAGCUUUAUCUGGCUGGGAUGUGCGGGGAGGCCAGCCAGGGUAGGCGUUAGUCCCGUGGGGCCAGAACUGGGUCAUGGGUGCUCACUAAGGCAGCAUAGGGUUCAGAAAGCCAGACGGUCAAACUGAAUCAGGGUUGGUUAGGGUUGGUGCCUAAGAAUAGAUGCCAACAGCAAAGGUGGGAUAAAAAUGAGGCUGCGAAGCUAAGACUGCAGCAUCUGAUGGAAAAGAUGCUGGGGGGGAUGGGAAAGAGUCAGGGAUCCGGGAAGAGCUCCUGGAUCACCCUUGGGUCUUGUAGAGACUGGAUCUGUGGGACUUCUUUAAAGGUCGGCGUGAAUGCCUUUUCUUUCUACAAUAGUGAGGAUUGGCUCCAGCUGUGAGUUUUGAAAACGCCCCUAAUAACAGUGGCUUGAACAAGAUAAAAAUUCAUUUCUCACUCAAGUCAAAACGUGAAGGCAGAAAUUCCAAGGCUCUUCUGUGGCUCUGCUCCCUCCAGCUCGUUCCUCCAGCUUCUGUAGGGCGUGGCCUCAGCCUGUGGUCCAAACAGCAUCCACGUCUAGAUAGCAGGAUGGACAAGAUGAAGAAGGGAAGGGAGCUGGGCCUGCAACCGCUCCACCUACCCCCAAAACUCAAUCACAGCCACUCUUGGAAGCAAAAGAGGUUGAGCAAAGUUCUUUUCUUCCGAGUAGUGUAUUAGUUUCCUAUUGGUGCUGUAACAAGUUACCACAAGCUUAAUGGCUUAAAACAACACAGAUUUAUCUCACAACUCUGGAGGUCAGAAGUCUGAAAAGGGUCUCGCUGGGCUAAUAUCAAGGUGUCGGCAGGCCUGGGAGCCCUUCUGGAAGCUCCAGGAGAGAAUCCACGUCUUGCCUUUUCCAGCUCCUAGAGGCCACCCACAUUCCUUAGGUCACAGCGCCUUCCACCUUCAAGGCCAGCACCAGCCGGGCAAGUCUUUCUCCCUCUGCUGUAUCUGAUCCUGACUCUUCUGCUCCCUUCGUCCCCAUUUAAGGACUCUUGUGAUUACAUUAGGCCCACCUGGAUCAUCCAGGAUACUCUCCUUAUUUUAAGGCCAUGGGAUUAGCAUCCUUGAUUUAAUCUGUGACCUUAAUUCCCCCUUGCCAUGUAACAUAAGACAUUCGUAGGUUCUGGGGAUUAGGAUGUAGACAUCUUUGGAGGAGCAUUAUUCUGCUUACCCCAGGCAACCACAGCAAAAAUUCUAUCACCAUAGAAGAAAGGCAGAGGCGCCAGCCCAGGGCACAGUGGUUAAGUUCACACACUCCACUUUCACAGCCCUGGGUUCACUGGUUUGGAUCCCAGGCGCAGACCUAUGCACUGCUUAUCAAGCAAUGCUGUGGCAGGUGUCCCACAUAUAAACUGGAGGAAGAUGGGCACAGAUGUUAGCUCAGGGCCAAUCUUCCUCAGCAAAAAAUAAAAAGAAAGAAAGAAAAGAAAUUAAAGGCAGAGGGACAUGGGACAUGCCACACUCCCCAACAAGGCUAUGAUCUCAGAGAAUGGAUGUCACGGUCCCUCAGUUCUGCCAUGCUGAUGCCAUGGGAGGUGCUCAUUGUGGAGGAGGAUCACCAGCUCCGAGGACAGUUGAAGCUGGGAGGUGCCACUGGCCACCUUUGUCACCACUGAGAGAAGCAUGCCUGGUGUUGAAGCCAACACAGAGCCAAGUGCCUUGACCAAUAUACUCAAGAAAUACCUGUCAGGACAAGUCACCACUUCUCAGAGCCCUCGAGCAUCUCCUAAAGCCCAGCUCUCGAAUGCUCUGACUCUAAGUCAGUGGUCAGGACCCAUGAGACCCUUCCAGCUUUCAUACACCCUCAUAGACGAUCAAACAUCCUGGCCUCAGCGGGCCAAACUCAGCCCAAAGGCAUAUGCAAUUUCCCCAAGUCACUUACUCUGCAUGGGAAACACCUCGUGUCACAGAGGCCCUUCCUGGCAACCUGACUUUUUUCCUUGUGUAUCUGCAGGGAACACUAACAAAUACUCUGGGGUUAACUGGAGACCCCCACGGCUCCCGUAGGACCUCCAUAUGGAAACUGGUGGCAGCCGGAGGAAGAGGGGAUCUGAGAGGUAGAGAAAGAACAGCUUGCUUUCUUUGAGUGGCAGCUGCAAGAGCCUGCAGUUAUUUCCUCUCUGCCCUGCUCUGCCCUAGCAUAGCUUUUCCUGGCCUGAGUCCCUCCCCUC
ensembl:lncRNA